UUCCGGUCCCCUCGCAACGACAGGUUGUAAACCCCGCCAGGCCCGGAAGGGAGCAACGGUAGCAACUGACUCGUGUGCCGGGGUGUGGCUGGAUUGG
rnacentral:SRP_RNA from 1 species